rnacentral:rRNA from 1 species
GGUUAAGCGACUAAGCGUACACGGUGGAUGCCCUGGCAGUCAGAGGCGAUGAAGGACGUGCUAAUCUGCGAUAAGCGUCGGUAAGGUGAUAUGAACCGUUAUAACCGGCGAUUUCCGAAUGGGGAAACCCAGUGUGUUUCGACACACUAUCAUUAACUGAAUCCAUAGGUUAAUGAGGCGAACCGGGGGAACUGAAACAUCUAAGUACCCCGAGGAAAAGAAAUCAACCGAGAUUCCCCCAGUAGCGGCGAGCGAACGGGGAGGAGCCCAGAGCCUGAAUCAGUGUGUGUGUUAGUGGAAGCGUCUGGAAAGGCGCGCGAUACAGGGUGACAGCCCCGUACACAAAAAUGCACAUGCUGUGAGCUCGAUGAGUAGGGCGGGACACGUGGUAUCCUGUCUGAAUAUGGGGGGACCAUCCUCCAAGGCUAAAUACUCCUGACUGACCGAUAGUGAACCAGUACCGUGAGGGAAAGGCGAAAAGAACCCCGGCGAGGGGAGUGAAAAAGAACCUGAAACCGUGUACGUACAAGCAGUGGGAGCACGCUUAGGCGUGUGACUGCGUACCUUUUGUAUAAUGGGUCAGCGACUUAUAUUCUGUAGCAAGGUUAACCGAAUAGGGGAGCCGAAGGGAAACCGAGUCUUAACUGGGCGUUAAGUUGCAGGGUAUAGACCCGAAACCCGGUGAUCUAGCCAUGGGCAGGUUGAAGGUUGGGUAACACUAACUGGAGGACCGAACCGACUAAUGUUGAAAAAUUAGCGGAUGACUUGUGGCUGGGGGUGAAAGGCCAAUCAAACCGGGAGAUAGCUGGUUCUCCCCGAAAGCUAUUUAGGUAGCGCCUCGUGAAUUCAUCUCCGGGGGUAGAGCACUGUUUCGGCAAGGGGGUCAUCCCGACUUACCAACCCGAUGCAAACUGCGAAUACCGGAGAAUGUUAUCACGGGAGACACACGGCGGGUGCUAACGUCCGUCGUGAAGAGGGAAACAACCCAGACCGCCAGCUAAGGUCCCAAAGUCAUGGUUAAGUGGGAAACGAUGUGGGAAGGCCCAGACAGCCAGGAUGUUGGCUUAGAAGCAGCCAUCAUUUAAAGAAAGCGUAAUAGCUCACUGGUCGAGUCGGCCUGCGCGGAAGAUGUAACGGGGCUAAACCAUGCACCGAAGCUGCGGCAGCGACGCUUAUGCGUUGUUGGGUAGGGGAGCGUUCUGUAAGCCUGUGAAGGUGUGCUGUGAGGCAUGCUGGAGGUAUCAGAAGUGCGAAUGCUGACAUAAGUAACGAUAAAGCGGGUGAAAAGCCCGCUCGCCGGAAGACCAAGGGUUCCUGUCCAACGUUAAUCGGGGCAGGGUGAGUCGACCCCUAAGGCGAGGCCGAAAGGCGUAGUCGAUGGGAAACAGGUUAAUAUUCCUGUACUUGGUGUUACUGCGAAGGGGGGACGGAGAAGGCUAUGUUGGCCGGGCGACGGUUGUCCCGGUUUAAGCGUGUAGGCUGGUUUUCCAGGCAAAUCCGGAAAAUCAAGGCUGAGGCGUGAUGACGAGGCACUACGGUGCUGAAGCAACAAAUGCCCUGCUUCCAGGAAAAGCCUCUAAGCAUCAGGUAACAUCAAAUCGUACCCCAAACCGACACAGGUGGUCAGGUAGAGAAUACCAAGGCGCUUGAGAGAACUCGGGUGAAGGAACUAGGCAAAAUGGUGCCGUAACUUCGGGAGAAGGCACGCUGAUAUGUAGGUGAAGCGACUUGCUCGUGGAGCUGAAAUCAGUCGAAGAUACCAGCUGGCUGCAACUGUUUAUUAAAAACACAGCACUGUGCAAACACGAAAGUGGACGUAUACGGUGUGACGCCUGCCCGGUGCCGGAAGGUUAAUUGAUGGGGUCAGCGCAAGCGAAGCUCUUGAUCGAAGCCCCGGUAAACGGCGGCCGUAACUAUAACGGUCCUAAGGUAGCGAAAUUCCUUGUCGGGUAAGUUCCGACCUGCACGAAUGGCGUAAUGAUGGCCAGGCUGUCUCCACCCGAGACUCAGUGAAAUUGAACUCGCUGUGAAGAUGCAGUGUACCCGCGGCAAGACGGAAAGACCCCGUGAACCUUUACUAUAGCUUGACACUGAACAUUGAGCCUUGAUGUGUAGGAUAGGUGGGAGGCUUUGAAGUGUGGACGCCAGUCUGCAUGGAGCCGACCUUGAAAUACCACCCUUUAAUGUUUGAUGUUCUAACGUUGACCCGUAAUCCGGGUUGCGGACAGUGUCUGGUGGGUAGUUUGACUGGGGCGGUCUCCUCCUAAAGAGUAACGGAGGAGCACGAAGGUUGGCUAAUCCUGGUCGGACAUCAGGAGGUUAGUGCAAUGGCAUAAGCCAGCUUGACUGCGAGCGUGACGGCGCGAGCAGGUGCGAAAGCAGGUCAUAGUGAUCCGGUGGUUCUGAAUGGAAGGGCCAUCGCUCAACGGAUAAAAGGUACUCCGGGGAUAACAGGCUGAUACCGCCCAAGAGUUCAUAUCGACGGCGGUGUUUGGCACCUCGAUGUCGGCUCAUCACAUCCUGGGGCUGAAGUAGGUCCCAAGGGUAUGGCUGUUCGCCAUUUAAAGUGGUACGCGAGCUGGGUUUAGAACGUCGUGAGACAGUUCGGUCCCUAUCUGCCGUGGGCGCUGGAGAACUGAGGGGGGCUGCUCCUAGUACGAGAGGACCGGAGUGGACGCAUCACUGGUGUUCGGGUUGUCAUGCCAAUGGCACUGCCCGGUAGCUAAAUGCGGAAGAGAUAAGUGCUGAAAGCAUCUAAGCACGAAACUUGCCCCGAGAUGAGUUCUCCCUGAC